rnacentral:rRNA from 1 species
CCUUCGGGGUACACGAGCGGCGAACGGGUGAGUAACACGUGAGCAACCUGCCCCUGACUCUGGGAUAAGCGGUGGAAACGCCGUCUAAUACCGGAUACGACCCGCCACCUCAUGGUGGAGGGUGGAAAGUUUUUCGGUCAGGGAUGGGCUCGCGGCCUAUCAGCUUGUUGGUGGGGUAACGGCCUACCAAGGCGAUUACGGGUAGCCGGCCUGAGAGGGCGACCGGCCACACUGGGACUGAGACACGGCCCAGACUCCUGCGGGAGGCAGCAGUGGGGAAUAUUGCGCAAUGGGCGAAAGCCUGACGCAGCGACGCCGCGUGGGGGAUGACGGCCUUCGGGUUGUAAACCUCUUUUACCACCAACGCAGGCUCCCAGUUUUCUGCAGGUUGACGGUAGGUGGGGAAUAAGGACCGGCUAACUACGUGCCAGCAGCCGCGGUAAUACGUAGGGUCCGAGCGUUGUCCGGAAUUAUUGGGCGUAAAGAGCUCGUAGGCGGCGUGUCGCGUCUGCUGUGAAAGACCGGGGCUUAACUCCGGUUCUGCAGUGGAUACGGGCAUGCUAGAGGUAGGUAGGGGAGACUGGAAUUCCUGGUGUAGCGGUGAAAUGCGCAGAUAUCAGGAGGAACACCGGUGGCGAAGGCGGGUCUCUGGGCCUUACCUGACGCUGAGGAGCGAAAGCAUGGGGAGCGAACAGGAUUAGAUACCCUGGUAGUCCAUGCCGUAAACGUUGGGCGCUAGGUGUGGGGACUUUCCACGGUUUCCGCGCCGUAGCUAACGCAUUAAGCGCCCCGCCUGGGGAGUACGGCCGCAAGGCUAAAACUCAAAGGAAUUGACGGGGGCCCGCACAAGCGGCGGAGCAUGUUGCUUAAUUCGACGCAACGCGAAGAACCUUACCAAGGUUUGACAUCACCCGUGGACUCGCAGAGAUGUGAGGUCAUUUAGUUGGCGGGUGACAGGUGGUGCAUGGCUGUCGUCAGCUCGUGUCGUGAGAUGUUGGGUUAAGUCCCGCAACGAGCGCAACCCUUGUUCCAUGUUGCCAGCACGUAAUGGUGGGGACUCAUGGAGAC